UACGGGGGGGGCAAGCGUUGUUCGGAAUUACUGGGCGUAAAGGGCGUGUAGGUGGUUUGCUAAGUUGGAUGUGAAAACUCUGGGCUUAACUCAGAGCCUGCAUCCAAAACUGGCAAACUUGAGUACUGGAGGGGAAAGCGGAAUUCCUGGUGUAGCGGUGAAAUGCGUAGAUAUCAGGAGGAACACCGGUGGCGAAGGCGGCUUCUGGACAGUAACUGACACUGAGGCGCGAAAGCUAGGGGAGCAAACAGG
rnacentral:rRNA from 1 species